AUGUAAUGUAAUGCCUACAACAUCAAUGCACUAGUUCCCUUUAGAAAUCCAUAGUUAGGCAUGCUUGGGCUAGAGUAGUACUGGGAUGGGUGACCUCUUCGAAAGUCCUAGUGUUUUACAUG
rfam:Picea glauca, whole genome shotgun sequence.